GGAUAACUACUCGAAAGACUGGCUAAUACCGCAUACGUCCUACGGGAGAGAGCACGGGACCUUCAGGCCUUGCACUAUUGGAGUGGCCGAUAUGUCAUUAGCUCGUUGGUGGGGUAAAGGCCUACCACGGCGACGAUCCGUAGCUGGUUUGAGAGGACGACCAGACACACUGGGACUGAGACACGGCCCAGACUCCUACGGGAGGCAGCACUGGGGAAUUUUGGACAAUGGGGGAAACCCUGAUACAGCCAUACCGCGUGUGCGAUCAAGGGCCCUUUUCGGGGGUUAGAUAAAAAGCCACUUUUUAAGUCCAAGGAAAAGAAAAUUCGGUCCCGGGGGAAUAAAUUUCCCUCCGGGUUGGGAUGGACCGUUACCUUGAAAGGAAUCAAGCCACCUGGCCUUAACUUACCGUGCCCAGGCAGCCCGUCAGUUAAGUACGUUAGGCGUGCCAAUGCGUUUAAUUCUGGAAUUUACCUGGGCAGUAAAAGCGCGGGCAGGUCUGGUUUCGGAAAAGAAAAGAAUGUGAAAAUCCCCAUCGACUUGAACCUUUGGAACUUGCAUUUUUUAACUUACCGAUGCUAGCAGUAUGUCAGAAGGGGGGAUGGAAUUUCCGCAGUGUAGCAGUGUAAAUGCGUAGAUGUGCCGGACGAACACCCGAUGGAGGAGGGCAGCCCCCUUGGGAUAACACUGACGCUCAUGCACGAAAGCGUGGCGAGCAAGCAGGGAUUAGAUACCUUGGUAGUCCACGCCCUAAACGAUGUCAACUAGCUGUUGGGACCUUCCGGUCUUAGUAGCGCAGCUAACGCGUGAAGUUGACCGCCUGGGGAGUACGGUCGCAAGAUUAAAACUCAAAGGAAUUGACGGGGACCCGCACAAGCGGUGGAUGAUGUGGAUUAAUUCGAUGCAACGCGAAAAACCUUACCUACCCUUGACAUGUCUGGAAUCCCGAAGAGAUUUGGGAGUGCUCGCAAGAGAACCGGAACACAGGUGCUGCAUGGCUGUCGUCAGCUCGUGUCGUGAGAUGUUGGGUUAAGUCCCGCAACGAGCGCAACCCUUGUCAUUAGUUGCUACGAAAGGGCACUCUAAUGAGACUGCCGGUGACAAACCGGAGGAAGGUGGGGAUGACGUCAAGUCCUCAUGGCCCUUAUGGGUAGGGCUUCACACGUCAUACAAUGGUCGGGACAGAGGGUUGCCAAACCGCGAGGUGGAGCUAAUCUCAGAAACCCGAUCGUAGUCCGGAUUGUAGUCUGCAACUCGACUACAUGAAGUCGGAAUCGCUAGUAAUCGCGGAUCAGAAUGUCGCGGUGAAUACGUUCCCGGGUCUUGUACACACCGCCCGUCACACCAUGGGAGUGGGUUCUACCAGAAGUAGUUAGCCUAACGCAAGGAGGGCGCUUACCACGGUAGGAUCAUGACUGAGUGAAGUCGUAGAAGUGCCUG
rnacentral:rRNA from 1 species